rnacentral:rRNA from 1 species
CCCCUUCGGGGGUACUCGAGUGGCGAACGGGUGAGUAACACGUGGGUAAUCUGCCCUGCACUUCGGGAUAAGCCUGGGAAACUGGGUCUAAUACCGGAUAGGACCUUUAGGCGCAUGCCUUUUGGUGGAAAGCUUUUGCGGUGUGGGAUGGGCCCGCGGCCUAUCAGCUUGUUGGUGGGGUGACGGCCUACCAAGGCGACGACGGGUAGCCGGCCUGAGAGGGUGUCCGGCCACACUGGGACUGAGAUACGGCCCAGACUCCUACGGGAGGCAGCAGUGGGGAAUAUUGCACAAUGGGCGCAAGCCUGAUGCAGCGACGCCGCGUGGGGGAUGACGGCCUUCGGGUUGUAAACCUCUUUCAGCAGGGACGAAGCGCAAGUGACGGUACCUGCAGAAGAAGCACCGGCCAACUACGUGCCAGCAGCCGCGGUAAUACGUAGGGUGCGAGCGUUGUCCGGAAUUACUGGGCGUAAAGAGCUCGUAGGUGGUUUGUCGCGUUGUUCGUGAAAACCGGGGGCUUAACCCUCGGCGUGCGGGCGAUACGGGCAGACUGGAGUACUGCAGGGGAGACUGGAAUUCCUGGUGUAGCGGUGGAAUGCGCAGAUAUCAGGAGGAACACCGGUGGCGAAGGCGGGUCUCUGGGCAGUAACUGACGCUGAGGAGCGAAAGCGUGGGGAGCGAACAGGAUUAGAUACCCUGGUAGUCCACGCCGUAAACGGUGGGUACUAGGUGUGGGUUUCCUUCCUUGGGAUCCGUGCCGUAGCUAACGCAUUAAGUACCCCGCCUGGGGAGUACGGCCGCAAGGCUAAAACUCAAAGGAAUUGACGGGGGCCCGCACAAGCGGCGGAGCAUGUGGAUUAAUUCGAUGCAACGCGAAGAACCUUACCUGGGUUUGACAUGCACAGGACGCGUCUAGAGAUAGGCGUUCCCUUGUGGCCUGUGUGCAGGUGGUGCAUGGCUGUCGUCAGCUCGUGUCGUGAGAUGUUGGGUUAAGUCCCGCAACGAGCGCAACCCUUGUCUCAUGUUGCCAGCGGGUAAUGCCGGGGACUCGUGAGAGACUGCCGGGGUCAACUCGGAGGAAGGUGGGGAUGACGUCAAGUCAUCAUGCCCCUUAUGUCCAGGGCUUCACACAUGCUACAAUGGCCGGUACAAAGGGCUGCGAUGCCGUAAGGUUAAGCGAAUCCUUUUAAAGCCGGUCUCAGUUCGGAUCGGGGUCUGCAACUCGACCCCGUGAAGUCGGAGUCGCUAGUAAUCGCAGAUCAGCAACGCUGCGGUGAAUACGUUCCCGGGCCUUGUACACACCGCCCGUCACGUCAUGAAAGUCGGUAACACCCGAAGCCAGUGGCCUAACCCUUUGGGAGGGAGCUGUCGAAGGUGGGAUCGGCGAUUGGGACGAAGUCGUAACAAGGUAGCCG